rnacentral:piRNA from 1 species
UGGCAGAUAUCUUAAAGGGUGUGCUGU